rnacentral:rRNA from 1 species
AGAGUUUGAUCAUGGCUCAGAUUGAACGCUGGCGGCAGGCCUAACACAUGCAAGUCGAGCGGUAGCACAGAGAGCUUGCUCUCGGGUGACGAGCGGCGGACGGGUGAGUAAUGUCUGGGAAACUGCCUGAUGGAGGGGGAUAACUACUGGAAACGGUAGCUAAUACCGCAUAAUGUCGCAAGACCAAAGUGGGGGACCUUCGGGCCUCAUGCCAUCAGAUGUGCCCAGAUGGGAUUAGCUAGUAGGUGGGGUAACGGCUCACCUAGGCGACGAUCCCUAGCUGGUCUGAGAGGAUGACCAGCCACACUGGAACUGAGACACGGUCCAGACUCCUACGGGAGGCAGCAGUGGGGAAUAUUGCACAAUGGGCGCAAGCCUGAUGCAGCCAUGCCGCGUGUGUGAAGAAGGCCUUCGGGUUGUAAAGCACUUUCAGCGGGGAGGAAGGCGAUAAGGUUAAUAACCUCAUCGAUUGACGUUACCCGCAGAAGAAGCACCGGCUAACUCCGUGCCAGCAGCCGCGGUAAUACGGAGGGUGCAAGCGUUAAUCGGAAUUACUGGGCGUAAAGCGCACGCAGGCGGUCUGUCAAGUCGGAUGUGAAAUCCCCGGGCUCAACCUGGGAACUGCAUUCGAAACUGGCAGGCUAGAGUCUUGUAGAGGGGGGUAGAAUUCCAGGUGUAGCGGUGAAAUGCGUAGAGAUCUGGAGGAAUACCGGUGGCGAAGGCGGCCCCCUGGACAAAGACUGACGCUCAGGUGCGAAAGCGUGGGGAGCAAACAGGAUUAGAUACCCUGGUAGUCCACGCCGUAAACGAUGUCGAUUUGGAGGUUGUGCCCUUGAGGCGUGGCUUCCGGAGCUAACGCGUUAAAUCGACCCGCCGGGGAGUACGGCCGCAAGGUUAAAACUCAAAUGAAUUGACGGGGGCCCGCACAAGCGGUGGAGCAUGUGGUUUAAUUCGAUGCAACGCGAAGAACCUUACCUGGUCUUGACAUCCACAGAACUUUCCAGAGAUGGAUUGGUGCCUUCGGGAACUGUGAGACAGGUGCUGCAUGGCUGUCGUCAGCUCGUGUUGUGAAAUGUUGGGUUAAGUCCCGCAACGAGCGCAACCCUUAUCCUUUGUUGCCAGCGGUUAGGCCGGGAACUCAAAGGAGACUGCCAGUGAUAAACUGGAGGAAGGUGGGGAUGACGUCAAGUCAUCAUGGCCCUUACGACCAGGGCUACACACGUGCUACAAUGGCAUAUACAAAGAGAAGCGACCUCGCGAGAGCAAGCGGACCUCAUAAAGUAUGUCGUAGUCCGGAUUGGAGUCUGCAACUCGACUCCAUGAAGUCGGAAUCGCUAGUAAUCGUAGAUCAGAAUGCUACGGUGAAUACGUUCCCGGGCCUUGUACACACCGCCCGUCACACCAUGGGAGUGGGUUGCAAAAGAAGUAGGUAGCUUAACCUUCGGGAGGGCGCUUACCACUUUCCGA